rnacentral:rRNA from 1 species
UUGGAGGGCAAGUCUGGUGCCCGCAGCCGCGGUAAUUCCAGCUCCAAUAGCGUAUAUUAAAGUUGUUGCAGUUAAAAAGCUCGUAGUUGAAUUUCGGGAUUGACGUGAUGGUCAUGCCUUAAGGGGUAUGAACUGUCACUGUUGAUUUCUCACCUUCUGGAGAAACUUGAUGUCCUUUAUUGGGUGUCUUGCGGAUCCAGGACCUUUACCUUGAAAAAAUUAGAGUGUUUAAAGCAGGCAUUUUUGCUCGAAUACAUUAGCAUGGAAUAAUAGAAUAGGACGGCAUGGUUCUAUUUUGUUGGUUUCUAGGAUCACCGUAAUGAUUAAUAGGGAUAGUUGGGGGCAUUAGUAUUCAAUUGUCAGAGGUGAAAUUCUUGGAUUUAUUGAAGACUAACUACUGCGAAAGCAUUUGCCAAGGAUGUUUUCAUUAAUCAAGAACGAAAGUUAGGGGAUCGAAGACGAUCAGAUACCGUCGUAGUCUUAACCAUAAACUAUGCCGACUAGGAAUCAGACGAUGUUAAUUUUUUAAUGACUCGUUGGCACCUUACGGGAAACCAAAGUGUUUGGGUUC